UGGGGAAUUUUGGACAAUGGGCGCAAGCCUGAUCCAGCAAUGCCGCGUGCAGGAUGAAGGCCUUCGGGUUGUAAACUGCUUUUGUACGGAACGAAAAGGCUCUGGAUAAUACCUGGGGCCCAUGACGGUACCGUAAGAAUAAGCACCGGCUAACUACGUGCCAGCAGCCGCGGUAAUACGUAGGGUGCGAGCGUUAAUCGGAAUUACUGGGCGUAAAGCGUGCGCAGGCGGUAAUGCAAGACAGAUGUGAAAUCCCCGGGCUUAGCCUGGGAACUGCAUUUGUGACUGCAUUGCUGGAGUGCGGCAGAGGGGGAUGGAAUUCCGCGUGUAGCAGUGAAAUGCGUAGAUAUGCGGAGGAACACCGAUGGCGAAGGCAAUCCCCUGGGCCUGCACUGACGCUCAUGCACGAAAGCGUGGGGAGCAAA
rnacentral:rRNA from 1 species